UACGCUGGUGGAAUCAUUGCACCGUAUUUUUCAAAGAUGCUGUUGGACGCAACGUUACGGUGAAUGGCGAUCGCUAUCGUUCGAUGCUAACAAACUUUUUGUUGCCAAAAAUGGAAGAACUGAACUUGGUUGACAUGUGGUUUCAACAAGAUGGCGCUACAUGCCACACAGCUCGCGAUUCUAUGGCCAUUUUGAGGGAAAACUUCGGAGAACAAUUCAUCUCAAGAAAUGGACCCGUAAGUUGGCCACCAAGAUCAUGCGAUUUAACGCCUUUAGACUAUUUUUUGUGGGGCUACGUCAAUCUAAAGUCUACAGAAAUAAGCCAGCAACUAUUCCAGCUUUGGAAGACAACAUUUCCGAAGAAAUUCGGGCUAUUCCGGCCGAAAUGCUCGAAAAAGUUGCCCAAAAUUGGACUUUCCGAAUGGACCACCUAAGACGCAGCCGCGGUCAACAUUUAAAUGAAAUUAUCUUCAAAAAGUAAAUGUCAUGAACCAAUCUAACGUUUCAAAUAAAGAACCGAUGAGAUUUUGCAAA